rnacentral:miRNA from 1 species
GCUGGGCGUGGUGGCGGGCGCCUGUGAUCCCAGCUACUCAGGAGGCUGAGACAAGAAUUGCUUGAACUUGGGAGGGGGAGGUUGCAGUGAGC